CCCUCACCUGCGAGGUGUGUCCAACUGCUCGGCACCUGGCUGACCUCCUAAAGUCCGUAGAAACGAUUGGCAAUUACUUUACUAUAGUUUCAGUCACUUUUUUUUUAGUUACCGCGAUGGUGCAAUCCAGAAUAGUGCUUUUAAAAAUGGUCAAAAAGAAAUGCUGAGUAUCGUUUACACCCACGAUUAGUCGCACGGAAAAGUGGGUGAACAAAAAACACCAUGAGAGACGCAGGAAGAGGAGUUGACGGAGAACACGUCGGAAAAUCCGAGAAAGACCAGAGUUGGAUCCCCAAAAUCAUCAAGAAGCGAGUGUGCACAACUUUUGUGGAAGAUUCUGUCAGUAAUGGCGCUCUCUGUCAGUGCGGGGGUAAAAGAGACGAUCACGGCUCCGUGGCUCUCGGUGACUACUUCAGCACAGCAAUUGUCAACCGCUGGGACAGCGUCCAGCACUCCUCUGAAUACCCGACGGAUGCUUUUGGAGAAUUGCAGUUUGCAGGAGCCAGCAAGCGGCACAGCUAUUUCCUGCGUCUGUCAUGGGACACCCCCCCAUCUAUGGUCUACACCCUGAUGACUGCCCACUGGCACCUUCCUGCACCUAACCUGGUGGUUUCUAUAGUGGGCGGAGAAGGCAGGACAAAGGUGAAGACUUGGGUACGGGAGGUCCUGAGGCAGGGGCUGGUGAAAGCCUCACAAAGCACAGGAGCGUGGAUCCUAACUGAAGGCUUGCGAGAAGGCGUUGGCCGGUGUGUUGGAGAGGCGGUGAGGGAUCAUGCAACCGCGGCCUCGUCGGUGUCCGUCAACAAGGUGGUGGCCCUGGGUGUCGCUCCCUGGGGCCUGGUGGACAACCGACAGCAGCUGGUCAACCCUGAGGGCAGCUUUCCUGCUAAGUAUUUCGUCCAGAACAAGCACAAAGACUCCUGCCGCCUGGACAACAACUACCAGGCCUUCCUGCUGGUGGACGAUGGGAGUGUGGGACGCAGAGGAGAGACUGGGUUUAGGGCCAAGCUGGAGGACUACAUCUCCCACCAGCGCACAGGCAUCUGGGGCAGCGGCAGCAUUGACAUCCCCGUCCUUUGUAUGCUGAUAUCAGGCGACGCAGGCAUGCUGGAGAGAGUCGAUCUCUCUCUUAAAAGCUCCAUGCCCUGGCUGGUGCUGGCCGGCUCCGGAGGCCUGGCCGACUUCUUGAGCGACGUCUUGGACAAUCUGUCAUCAGCCACGGCCGUCCAGUCGUCCGGUGAAGGGAACGCCGAGGCGUCUCCCAGCGUGGAUCUGAAAGACAAAGUAGCAGAACGGGUCAAGAAGCACUUCCCUGCCGAAAAGGAGCCGGACAAACUAGUCGAACGGGCUCUGAGUAUCUACCAGAUGAGAGACUUUAUUACUGUCUACCAUGGAGAGCAGGAGGGCCCAAAUGAAUUUGACACUGUCCUGCUAAAAACUUUGGUUGGAGCUAGUAAGCAUCGUGCGUCAGUUGAUGCCAGCCCUUACAAUGAAGAGCUGAAGCUAGCGGUCACAUGGAACAGGGUUGACAUUGCCAAGAGUGAACUUUUCAAUGGAGACAUCCCUUGGACGUAUGAAGACUUAGAAGACCCCAUGACGGAUGCCCUGAUCAACGACAAGCCUCAGUUUGUGCGUCUUUUCACCGAGAAUGGCCUCAACAUUCUGGACUACCUGACUUACGGCCGGCUGGAGAGCCUUUACAGCUCCGUGGCUGAAGGGACGGUGCUUUACCAUCUACUUCAGCGCCAGCUGGUGGAGCGGCUUGGAACUGCAACGUCAAACCAGCAGGACUUGCCUUCCAAAUUGGCGGCAGAGAACAUGCAGAUUGGCCCAGUGACGAAGAUUACCCUUUUUGAGGUUGCCAGGGUCCUGGAGCUGUUGAUGGGUGACGUCUGCCAGCCAUUUUACUAUAAUGCUUUGGGCUUAGAAGAUAUCUCAUCCAAGAGGAAAGCACUUAGGCGUGUCAGCAAGGUGCUGCGCGGAGAAUGCUCUUAUCGAAAAGAACAAUGCCAAUCCCCCUGGACCUCCCUCUUCAUCUGGGCCGUCCUGCAGAACCGCAGCGAGAUGGCAACUUUCUUCUGGGAGAUGGCAGGAGAGUCUGUGCUCAGUGCUCUGAGUGGCUGUAAGAUUCUGAGGGAAGUGUCCAAGUUGGAGGUGGAGACGGAGAACAAGCUGUCCAUGAAAGAGUUGGCCCAGAGGUUUGAGAACCUGGCACAUGACAUGUUCAGCUCUUGCUAUCGGAGCAAUGAGAGUCGCUCUUUCACCCUACUGAUAAGGAAAUCUACAGUUUGGGGCGCCACCACCUGCCUCCAGAUGGGCAUGGGCGCUGACGCACGACUGUUCUUCAGCCACGACGGAGUGCAGUCUCUAUUGUCCCAGAUCUGGUGGGGGGACAUGAAGAGGAACACAGAUGUGUGGAAGCUCCUGCUCACCUUCUUUUGUCCCGUCCUCUGCUACACCAACCUCAUCUCCUUCAGGAAGCAAGAGGACCAGCACGAAGGGGAAGACGAGAAGCCUAACGAGGACGGAGCGGGCAAGGACAGCCACAGCCUCUAUGGCCACACAGUCUUCUCUUUCUCAGAGCUCAAGCACGGUGAUGCUGAUGCACAAGAAUCAGUCGCUCCCAGCACACCAGGCAUUAAAGGUAGACGCCUCUCUCACAACCCCCCCCAUCGUCCGUUCAUUGUGUCGAGAUGGCGUCAGUUCUGGUUUGCCCCCGUCACCGCAUUCCUGGGCAACGUUCUGAUGUACUUCCUGUUCCUCCUGCUGUUUGCCUGGGUGCUGUUGGUGGACUUCAAGCCCCCGUCCUCCUCUCGUCUGGCCAUCACAGAGUAUGUGCUGUACUUCUGGGUGUUCACCAUCGUGUGUGAGGAGAUCCGGGAGAUAUUCUUUCUGGAGACGAGGACUUGGCGUCAGAGGGUCAGAGUGUACAUUCAGGAUGUGUGGAACAUGUGUGACCUCAUCACCAUCGUGCUUUUCAUCGUGGGAGUAAUCUGCAGGAUGUUCACAUGGUCAUAUGAAUUGGGCCGGGAUGCCAUGUGUGUUGACUACAUGGUCUUCACCGUCCGUCUCAUUCACAUCUUUGCCAUUCACAAGCAGCUGGGACCAAAAAUCAUUAUCGUUGGCAAGAUGAUGAAGGACAUCUUCUUCUUCCUUUUCUUCCUCAUGGUGUGGCUCAUGGCAUACGGAGUAGCCAAUCAGGCCCUGCUUUACUCCUACGACCCGAGCCUGGAGCGCAUCUUACGCCAUGUUUUCUACAGGCCGUACCUGCACAUCUUUGGACAGAUCCCCGUGGAAGAGAUGGAUGUUGGGAAGGAGUGGGACAGGCUCUGCACAGACAACAUGACACUGAUAGAGAGCGGUCAGGAGCCCUGCAGGACGCUGUAUAGUAACUGGCUGGUGGUGAUUCUGCUGGUUGUUUACCUGCUGGUCACCAACAUCCUGCUCAUCAACCUGCUCAUCGCCAUGUUUAGCUCCACCUUCUCUGAAGUGCAGGCUAACAGCGACAUCUACUGGAAGUUCCAGCGCUACACGCUGGUAGUCCAGUACCACUCUCGUCCCUCCCUGGCUCCUCCUUUCAUCAUCCUCUCUCACAUCAAUCUCUUCAUCAAAAGGGUCAUCCGCAAAGUGCCCUCCAUCAAGCUCCAUCACUUUGUGUUGGAGUUGAAAGGGAAAGCCGCCAACAAGCUAAAGACGUGGGAAGCCAUUCAGAAGGAGGACGUCUUGACGGCCCAGAACAAGAUCCAGAGAAGCAGUGACUCAGAGAGGCUCAAACGGAUGUCUGUCAAAGUGGACGGUGUGUUUAAACAUGUGACUGAAAGCAGAGACUUUGACCACAGGCUGAGGGCUUUGGAGAACGAGAUGGAGUACUGCUCGAAUGCUCUCAGCUGGAUUGUUGAUACGUUGGCACAAGGCAGCACUUUUAAACCUCCUCGUCGUCCUCCUCCAUCAAGAGAUUUGUUCCCAUCUUCUUCUAAUUCCACCUGAUCCAACCGCGUGGAUGCGUUCACUCUCUCAGGACCAAGUCGACUCCCGAGCAUGUGAUACAUGUACGGUUCUGAGUUCUGAAGAAUACUUUUGGAGAACCACCUCUUGUGCAUGUUCCACACCUCGGAGGUACUCUUUAUGAGCUUCAUCGUUGCGGACUGGCCUCCACCUUCCACAUUCAAGGAACUCCAGUCCUGUGGCUGCCCCCCCCUGACCGCUCUCACCUCCCACCACGUCCCCUUUCAGUGGACAUCCGCAAGGUCAUUUCGUGAGUUAAAGGCACGAGCUGUUCCCCACCGAGAGAAAUUACGACUCUGGAUAAGUGGAUACGCUGGCUGGAGGGAGCGGAGCAGUCGUUUAUGGUCUGGAUGGACCACACAAAUCUAGAGGACAUCCGCUCUGCUAAGAGGUUAAACUCUCGUCAAGCAAGAUGGAAUACUGCUCGAAUGCUCUCAGCUGGAUUGUUGAUGCACAAGGCAGCACUUUCAAACCUCCUUGUCCUCCUCCCACAUCAAGAGGUUUGUUCCCAUCUUCUAAAUCCACCUGAACCAGCCGCGGUGAUGCGUUCACUCGCUCCGAACGGUACAACCGCUUUUAAAUGCUUCUACCUUUUGUGGCUCCGUUGCUACACACCCAACUAUGUUCAUCACUGCACUCAGUCACCAAAUAUUCUACCAUCUAUACUGAAAGUGUAGCAGCCGUCACUUGUUACAGUAUUGAUUGAAUGCAAAAACCAAUAUUUGAAAUGUGCCAUUGAUAUUUAAAUGCCAAAGUCAAGAGUUUGUAUUCAUCACAUCGCAUGCCAUAUUUUAUGGAUUCUCUUUGUCAAUAGUAUCCUGUCUUCAGUGCUGUAGUUCUAAGCUAUAUUACUUUUUUAAUAUGUUUGUGUUCUGGUCAUUUUUGUAACAUUCCGGAAGUAAACCGGAGGUUGACAGCGGAAACUAAGCGGCCGCUAGCUGCAGUCCGUUACAUCAAGAUGAAGAGAGCUUUCUGCAUUGGGAGUGAAACGAACAGAGGCGCGACACACAGCGGAGAACUGAGCGUUUCUGCAAGUCGGCAUUCUUAAAAACAUUCUUAAAAUACACUGCAAAUUUUAUUUCAAAUCUUUUAACCUCCUUUUUUUUUAUCCCUAUAAUGUUUUUUCUUUUAUGCUUCAAUUUAUCAAUGUUCUUAACUGUUUAUAAAUCUCCUCGUUUUCUGUGUGGAUGUUUUAAAUGGUUUUAUGUGAAGCACUUUGAAUUGCCUUGUUAUUGAAAUGUGCUCUACAAAUAAAAUUCCCUUGCCUAAAGCA